rnacentral:misc_RNA from 1 species
CCCUGACCAUUCCCUACAAAUUUCAAAACGUGGCUCUUUGGGCUACUGGGGAUGCCUGAAACCCAGUAAAUCCAACGGGCUUCGUGCGGGCAAGGGCUCUCUCAAUUUCCUUCCCUACCAACUUCCCAGGAUGGGGAAUUGGGCUAACUUGGUGGAACCGGGUAAUCGAGGGUUAGGGCCCGCCCCCGGAGAUGGAGCCGGAGAAACGGGCAACUACAUCCAAGGAAGGCAGCAGGCGCGUAAAUUACCCAAUCCCGACCCGGGGGAGGUUUGGGUCAUUUAAUCCUGAUGCAGGGGUUUUUUUAAGGGGUCUUUGAAAUCGGAAGGAGUACAAUUUAAAUCCCUUAACGAGGAACAAUUGGGGGGGCCACACCUGGAUAAACCAUGAGUUGAUCCUCGCCAGGGGGGGAGAAAGCAGGGAAACCAGGUUGCCCCCCCCGGGGGGGGGGAAGCUUGGGUAACAAGGUGGAUCACGCCGGGUGGGGGCCAAUUCUUCAAAAUAAGACUUCUAUUACGAUUCACUGCCCAUGGUUCUACCACUUCGUGACUGGGCAAAACCCUGCCGUUACCCCCCCUCUUAUCGUCUUGCCCCACAUCCCCCUUUUCGCCUCGCUCUGGCAAAAAACGAUAUACCCUCACACCCAUGGCCCUUCCCCACAUUGCACCACCCUAAAUAGCAAAAUGAGUCGCCGUGGUAACACACAUUAUUGUCGUUUACGCUUGUUUGGUUUCUCUCUAGCCCCGACCCUUUACCCUUUCAGACCCCCCUAGCC